CUUAAAAGAGGUACCCAAAAAUAUUUCAACCUUUUAUAUAUGUAAACUGGCCCACUAGUGGCUGCAAUCUCAAUAGUCAUAACAAUACAAAGCUAGAAGUUUGAGAGGAUUAAAACAUAGUAAAAGACUUGUAGAUUUUCUAGUGUUGGUGAAUAUCAAUUUCACUUAGUUGAUUAAAUCCUUCAAAGUGAAGGAACUAGACGUAACUAUCAUGUUGCUAAUAAACCAGAAUAAAUUUGUUUUGUGAUUUCUAUUCCUUAUCUCUUUAUUUUUUAUUAAAGGUAUUUUAAGUUUCUCUCUAGAACUUGUUUUAUGAAAAAAAGGUUUUUAAAUGAAAACAUAAUUCAUGCCCACUUUUUCUUGUUUUUUUUUUUCACCUUGAAUAGUCAAUAAUAUCCACUUGAGUUUGACUUAUUCGUAGUUAUCUAAUUUGAAAACAUAAAGCGACUAGUUAGAGGAAAAUUGUUGUCUUAAUGUAUUACCAUCAUAACAUCAAAAAAUAGCUAUUGUAUUUGAAUCAAUCUACUCCUCAAAAAAGUUACACAUCCCUUUAUGACGGAUGCAGUAUUCAAAAAUCAUGUGCACUAACAUAUAUGCAUUGCAUUAGGAUUAUGGAAUUCAUUAUCAAUGAAUGUUUUGGGCGAAUGAUUUAUAUAUCAUACGAUGUGGGAGUACAUGAUCCAAGAGAUUGGUGGGACAACAGAGAAGUUAUGGUCUUUCUAGAUAGGGAUUUGACGUCUUCCUAGAUUUUUUACCCAACUACAGCAAGAACGUGUACACAACAAGUUGAUGGCUUUGAUGAAAAAGAAUGAAGAACUAUUUUAUGUGACUUGUACACAUGGAGAAGAUGGGGUGUUUAUAUUGUUUCGAUACAGUCGAGUACUUAAUCCACUAUAAAAAAAACUGGUUAGAAACUCUUAACCGCCCCUUUAAUUGUGUCAUAUCGUUUUUCAAAACCUCAUCAAGCUCCUUGUAUUAUAAUGCCUCAACGGGCAACUAGAAGUAAAAUCUCUAAAUUCCUCAAGAAUACUGGAGGACCUUACCUUUUAAAUUGAGUUUAAACUGUACCUCUUCUGGUUCAUGUAUUGUUCUAACCAUCUCUUUACACUACCACUAGAGAACUCUUUAGUCAUCUCAACAAUCUUGGUAAAACACCUAUUUUGUGUUCUUGAGGAAUCAAGUAUUCUCAAAGCAUUUUUAGGAUGAGUGUAAUUUUGAGUCUCUUGGAGCCAAUAAACUCUCAAAAAUAUUGGCUUAAUUAGUACUGUUACACAACAUCCUUCUAACUUCAAGUUAAUACAUAUAAAAAACCAAUUGGCUACCCCAUUAAAAAUAGCAUACUCAAAAUAAUUUAGCAUUCAAAGGAAUGCCAUACUUGUUGAGGCAAAGUCCCAAAUUAAUAUUUUGAUGUAAACAAAUAAAGGUUAAUUAAAGACUCUAA